GUACAAAGGAGAGAGCGAGAUGAAGAUAACGGUGGCGAUUGUCCUCUGCGUCUGGUUGUCCUCGGAGUCUCUGCUCAGGGCCGAGGGAGAAACGACUCCAUGUGAGAACUGCACAGACACAUCAAUGAGCAGCCCAGGAGGAAGCACGCCAUCCGCCAGCGGCCCCUCCGGCGGCCCCUCCGGCGGCCCCUCCACCCCUCUGGACUCCUCUCCGACUCCCCAGUCCUCCACCCGUCCCCACAGCCCCACGGCCGCUCCGUCCACUCCGGCUCCAGGGACGUCCAGUCCGGCAGGUCCAGGAACCACAGCGGCAGGAGGGUCGGCCGCCCCGAGCGGAGGCGGCGCUCAGCUGCUGCUUUCUGCCCUCUCCGUCCUGCUCUGCUCCGUCUGGAGCGUCUGAGGAUGGAGGAUGGAGGAUGGAGGAUGGACACCAUCUCGCAUGAUGACAUGAUUCUUUCUUUCCAGCUCACACCUGGAGGUGAAAACCUCCGGACAGAAAAACAUUCAUGGCAAAUGUUGCAUAUGAUUUACAAUGCAAAUAAUAUAAUAUAAUCAUGCCAACAAGAAGCCUUAUUGUUCCCGAAUUACAUCCAAUGCAAAUGAAUUUACUCCAGUGCUUUGUAUCACGAAUCUUUCAGCUUUGUAGCAGUUUGUAUUUUAAUGUACAUUUUUUUUUAAUACAUUGUGAACAGAAAUUAUAUUAUUGAUUGAAAAUGUGGGUCAUUCUUUGUGAGAAAAUGCAGUUUUCAGGCUGUGUCAACAGGUGCAGCAGUGAGAUCUGUCCAACAUGUAAAUAUGAAGAGCAGUGGAGACAGAACCAAACCGAACACAGCAGACAGAUGAUGCAGCGUAAUCAUCAAGUCAAACAGAGGUUUUCCACAAACUUCAACAGUUCCGACUUUCUUCUUUUUAAGUUCUGAGACAUAUUUGAGUAUUUCGCAAAAUUAGAUCAUUUUCUUCGCUUUUUUUAAACUGCAAUCAUCAUAUUGACAUUUCAACGAAUAUUAUCUUAACAUGUGAUGGUUUUAGAUGAAAUUUACAAUUAAACUGCAGUAAAGCAGCUCAAAUGAAGUAUGUAAAGAUGUAAAAACAGGAUGCUGCAGAAAGCCAGUAAGAAAUGCUUUCAAUUUAAAAACAUAUAGAAGCUUCUAUAAAGCUGGACGUCUUUUUUUUUUCCCCUUUCCAACAAAUGUGAUUGUAUAAACAUGUAAUAUUGUGUUGUUUGAGUCCUUUAUACAUCCAAAGAGGGUUUUUAUGAGGCAUCAGACGAGGUUUUCUAUUUUGUUUCACCACUUAUUCAAGAAAAGUUCAUGAAUUUCUUGAUUUGACAUUUCCCCAUAACGGGGUCAGGAGGGGCAGGAACUGCAGCAGCUGGAGGCAAACCCAGCCGAGACCGGGUAUCUCUUACAUCCUCCCCAGGACAGAUUUCCACUGGUGCUUUGUGGAGACUUUGCAUCCGCGGCCCGUCACUGGGUGGAGACUGACCGGAGGCAGGUAUCAGGUGAGAAGCGGGACAACGCCUUAUAAAAGACCGGCCUCCUUAGGCGCCUGCUUUUCAGGAGCCGGACCUUCAAGCAGGGGCCCCACACACACACUCACACACACUCACACACAAGUCUGUGAGCGGCACAGACUUCAAGAAGGAAAAGCAAGUGUAACAUCUGCUGGGAAAAGACAGAAAUCCUGAGCUGUGUGUUCGUCUUCGGAGAGAAAAUCAGCCUCCGUUCAGUAUGAAGUACCUUCUCCUGGGGCUCUUCUCACUGGUGCUGGUGGGAUUCGACGUCGCUCGGUCUCAAGGAGGCAGAGCGACGACGGCGAUGCCUUCUUCAACCAUGGCGGCCACCGCCAACAAUUCCACCCAAAACGGUGGGAUGGGCAGCAGCACCGGCAGCGGCGGCAGCACUAACGGUGGUGGCGGAAGCACCGGCAGCGGAAACACCGGCAGCACCGGCGGCGGCGGCUCCACGAACACCCAGGGAACAACGGGAACCCAGAUGUGGAACACACAGAAACCCAACUCCACCAGCAGCGGCCAGGACCACGUCCUCACCUCCGCUGCCCUGCUGCUGGGCUCCGUGGCUCUGCAGCUCGUCCUCCAGUGAGCUUCAAACCAGACUCAGCUCUCUGUAGCCACUUUCAGUUACAAGAUUCACGUAGAGUCGCAGCCGUUAGAGAGAACGACGCAUUAAACCCGUUGCUUUUUAUCAAACACGACACAGUUAGAAACAUAGCUGAUGAAUGAACUAAUAGAGAAAACUCCUGAAUGUCUUUUCCCGCUUGAAUAUCUGAAACCAAAGAAGAAUUUCCCUGAAAUAUUUAUUCCAAAAGCAGAUUCUUUUCAAUCAACGUUUCCUCCGAGAUGCAGGAAAAUUACUGGAUUUGAAUGAUGUGAAAAGCCUGAAUCUGCAAAACAAAUCAG